AUUGAACGCUGGCGGCAUGCCUUACACAUGCAAGUCGAACGGCAGCACGGGUGCUUGCACCUGGUGCGAGUGGCGAACGGGUGAGUAAUACAUCGGAACGUACCUUAUCGUGGGGGAUAACGCAGCGAAAGCUGUGCUAAUACCGCAUACGCCCUGAGGGGGAAAGCGGGGGAUCGCAAGACCUCGCGCGAUUAGAGCGGCCGAUGCCUGAUUAGCUUGUUGGUGGGGUAAAAGCCCACCAAGGCGACGAUCAGUAGCUGGUCUGAGAGGACGAUCAGCCACACUGGGACUGAGACACGGCCCAGACUCCUACGGGAGGCAGCAGUGGGGAAUUUUGGACAAUGGGGGCAACCCUGAUCCAGCAAUGCCGCGUGAGUGAAGAAGGCCUUCGGGUUGUAAAGCUCUUUUGUCAGGGAAGAAACAGCAGCUCUAACACAGUAUGCGAAUGACGGUACCUGAAGAAUAAGCACCGGCUAACUACGUGCCAGCCGCCGCGGUAA
rnacentral:rRNA from 1 species